GAAUUAUUUCAAUAUCAACCUCACAUGUCCUAGCCCAUCUUUGGCCUAUUCGACAAGUACCUCAAACUCUGUGCUCUUCAGUGGAAUUCAUUCUGUACCCAAUAGUUUCUUAGCUACAUCAUAUCCUUUGUGGAAGGAGGCCUUUCUCCAUUGUGGAAUUUUAAUGCUGAAAGAGGUUGGUGACACCUUCAGGUGAAGGCUUUCAACAUUCACUGUAUUCAUAAGGGCUUUUUCCAGUGUGGCAGAUCUGCUUUUGAGAUUCAGCUCUAUCAUCACCUAACUCUCUGACCCAAAGUAAGUUAAUUGUAAAAUGGAGAAGUAAAAGUAUCUAUUUGAGAGUGUGUCAUGGGGAUUACAUUAGAAAAAUGUGGAUAAAGCACUUAGCUUGGCCCUUGGUACAUGCUCCAUAAAAUAGCAAAUUAAGAAUCAACACAAAAUGGUUGAGAUGACCCACUUGCAAAUGUUAUCCUUCCUGAGAGAUCAUUUGUAACAGGUAGUAGGAGGCCUUAGAAAGUAACCUGCAGGCUGGGCACAGUGGCUCACACCUGUAAUCCCAGCACUUUCAGAGGCUGAAGCGGGCGAAUCACUUGAGAUCAGGAGUUCCAGACCAGGCUGGCCAACAUGGCGAAACCACGUCUCUACUAAAAAAAAAAAAUACAAAAAUUAGCUGGGCAUGGUGGCACAUGCAUGUAGCCCCAGCUACUCAGGAGGCUGAGGCAUGAAAAUCGCUUGAACCUGGGAGGCGGAGAUUGAAGUUAGCCGAGAUCAUGCCACUGUACUUCAGCAUGGGAGACAGAGCAAGACUCGGUCUCAAAACAGGAAAGAAAGGAAAGAAAAGAAAGAAAGAAAGAAAGAAAGAAA
rnacentral:lncRNA from 10 species